rnacentral:rRNA from 1 species
UCGAGAAUCUUCCGCAAUGGACGAAAGUCUGACGGAGCGACGCCGCGUGCGGGAUGAAGGCCCUUGGGUUGUAAACCGCUUUCGGGGGGGAUGAAAUCUCUGAGGGUACUCCCUCAGAGUUGACAGAGCCCCAAAAGAAGCACGGGCUAAGUACGUGCCAGCAGCCGCGGUAACACGUACUGUGCGAACGUUAUUCGGAAUCACUGGGCUUAAAGGGUGCGUAGGCGGCAAUCCAAGUCAGAUGUGAAAUGCCUGAGCUUAACUGAGGCACUGCGUUUGAAACUGGAUUGCUUGAGUAUUUCAGGGGUGUGCGGAACUGCCAGUGGAGCGGUGAAAUGUGUUGAUAUUGGCAGGAACACCGGAGGCGAAAGCGGCACACUGGGGAAUAACUGACGCUGAGGCACGAAAGCCAGGGUAGCGAACG